CAUUUCCUAGAGUGACGUAAGGGUGCGCAACAAGUAUGCAAUCUGCCCUCAACUGGAGGAUAGCUCCCCGAAAGGGGAAUUAACACUCCAUAAUAUGAUUGAAUGGCAUCAUUUGAUUAUUAAAACUCCGGUGGUUGAGGAUGAGCAUGCUUCUGAUUAGCUAGUUGGUAGUGUAACGGACUACCAAGGCGAUGAUCAGUAGGGGAACUGAGAGGUUGAUCCCCCACACUGGCACUGAGAUACGGGCCAGACUCCUACGGGAGGCAGCAGUAGGGAAUAUUGGACAAUGGGUGCAAGCCUGAUCCAGCCAUGCCGCGUGCAGGAAGAAGGCCUUCUGGGUUGUAAACUGCUUUUGCCAGGGGAUAAAAAGCCCAUGCGUGGGAAAUUGAAGGUACCUGGUGAAUAAGCCACGGCUAACUACGUGCCAGCAGCUGCGGUAAUACGUAGGUGGCAAGCGUUGUCCGGAUUUAUUGGGUUUAAAGGGUGCGUAGGUGGUCUAUUAAGUCAGUGCUGAAAUAUCCCGGCUUAACCGGGAGGGUGGCAUUGAUACUGAUGGACUUGAGUAAAGUUGAGGUAGGCGGAAUUGACGGUGUAGCGGUGAAAUGCUUAGAUAUCGUCAAGAACACCGAUAGCGAAGGCAGCUUACUAAGCUUUAACUGACGCUGAGGCACGAAAGUGUGGGGAUCAAACAGGAUUAGAUACCCUGGUAGUCCACACUGUAAACGUUGAUGACUCGAUGUUAGCGAUACACUG
rnacentral:rRNA from 1 species